GGUUGCUGUCUAAUUGACAUAUGCUAGUAUUUAUUAUUUAACAGAAAUAACAAACCUUAUAGUAAUUUUUUUGUAUUGAAUAAUUCAAUUAAUAAGUAAAUGUUUUGAUUAAAGUUAUUUCUACAAUUUCACAAAUUAAGUUAACCUAUACCAGCAACGACCAAAAAUUCCAGAUUGGGAUCAUUUGUUUUUCUUUUCUCUUCUUUCUUUUCUCGUGUAAUAAAAAUCCUUAAUCUGGACAAACAUUUUCGUCAUAAUGCUGUCGAACGUUUAUAACGUCGAUGUAUUUGCAGAAAAACGCACUUUAGCGUAUCAAACCAUCGUACUUUAGCGUAGGCCAUUGCACUUUAGCGUGACCAUCGCAUUUUAGCGUCCCCAUCGCACUUUAGAGUCCUACAUAUUUAU
rnacentral:lncRNA from 1 species